AGCAGCCGCGGUAAUUCCAGCUCCAAUAGCGUAUAUUAAAGUUGUUGCAGUUAAAAAGCUCGUAGUUGAAUUUCGAGACCGGCUUACUGGUCGUGCUAUUGUACGUACUGGUAUAAUCGGUUUCUCCUUUCUGACGAACUAUAAUGCCAUUAAUUUGGUGUUUUAGGGAAUUAGGACUGUUACUUUGAAAAAAUUAGAGUGUUUAAAGCAGGCUCACGCUUGAAUACAUUAGCAUGGAAUAACGGAAUAGGACGUUUGAUUCUAUUUUGUUGGUUUCUAGGAUCGACGUAAUGAUUAAUAGGGAUAGUUGGGGGCAUUAGUAUUCAAUUGUCAGAGGUGAAAUUCUUGGAUUUAUUGAAGACUAACUACUGCGAAAGCAUUUGCCAAGGAUGUUUUCAUUAAUCAAGAACGAAAGUUAGGGGAUCGAAGACGAUCAGAUACCGUCGUAGUCUUAACCAUAAACUAUGCCGACUAGGGAUCGGAUGAUGUUAAUUUUUAAUGACUCAUUCGGCGCCUUACG
rnacentral:rRNA from 1 species